GAACCCUGAAAAGGCGGACCCGCAAGCUGUCCUUCCUUUGGAUCUUGGAGUCUGCCUUUGAGCUGUGCACGAAGGCGACAGCACCUGAAGGGAUUCAGUUGCUUAACUUUAGACCCUAUUCCCAACUCAACAUGCUCACCAGCCUCAUCCCCGAUAGGACUCAUUGCGUUAUGUAUUCGCACCAUCCCUUCUUGUACCGAAGAAAAGGAGGGAGAAAGGGAGGGAGGGAACUGCAUACUUAUUCUCCCGGGUCUACACAGAUCUCUUCGUGUGAAGCGGGGUGAAACCGACCUAGAGCCUGGGUGGAUGGAAGCAAGAGAACCCCUCUAUUCAUCAACCCGGUGCCUGCCAAGAGCCGCAGGGCCCACCUAAGUCCGAGGGUCAAGAAAACCAACAGUCCUUACAAGGCCUGCAGGAACAGCCAUCUGCUCCAGGGCCAUAGAAAGACAGUCCAGACCGAGGAGCUGGAUUCCAUCAGGAUGGAACUGAGUCAGAUCAAAGCCCAGGUGGACAGCCUAUUGGAGAGUCUGGAGUCCAUGGAGCAGCAGAGGCACCAGCACACAGGU
rnacentral:lncRNA from 1 species